CAUAUUAAAGCAGACACAGCUGCAUUAAAUUUCACACCACCUACUCCUCCAUAAAUUUCAGACAGAGAAAGUUAUGUCACAAAAAAUGGAAGUGAAAUCCGAGGUCAAUGAGCAAAAGAAAUGUCUCAACCAUGACGGCGGCAACGACGACGGAGACAAUGGUCAAGGCCAGGCGGAUCCGCCUUCCACCGCCGCGGAUCCACCCGUGGCAGAGGUGGAUCGGGCUAGGGCACCGCCACGGCCGGUCAUAAGCGGUGGCAGUGGCCCUCAGACCAACACAAACCCUAAUUAAUUAGGUUUUUUUUAAAAAUUUGGUAAUUUUAUGUGAUUUUUCCUUCUAGUUUUUUUUGCUUUGUAAGAUUAUGUUUUAGGGUUUCUCUCUCUCCUACACUGUGUUCUAGAGUGGGGUUUUGGUUUUGGAAGUUGAUACUUGUUUUUCUCUGUUUGUUGUUAGUGUUUGUAUAUCAAGAUUCUUCAUGAUAUGUAUGUCACUAGGCUACAUGCAUGUUUAUAUGUAAUUAAAUUAAUUAGUUAAUGUGUUGAAUUGUGAUGGUGUUUUGAUUA